rnacentral:misc_RNA from 1 species
GGCUUUUGUUAUGGACUGUGUGUAUGUGGGGCUCCUGUAUGGGGCGAUUCGUGGUGGAGAAGAACAGCUUGAGGAUCACCUCGCCGGAUUCGCUCAAGGAUGUUUAUGAGUGCGCGAUCGGGAACUUCGGCGUCCCGCAGUACGGCGGCACGAUGGUUGGGAUCGUCGCGUAUCCGAAGUCGAACAGGAAGGCUUGUAAGAGCUUCUCCGAGUUUGAUAUUUCGUAUAAGGCGAAGCCGGGAGUAUUUCCGACUUUUCUGCUUGUUGAUCGGGGAGAUUGCUAUUUUACGGCAAAGGCAUGGAAUGCACAGAAUGCUGGGGCUGCUGCCAUUCUUGUUGCCGACAACAAGGUAGAGCCCUUAAUAACGAUGGACACACCAGAGGAAGAAAAUAGUGGGGCCGAUUAUUUACAGAACAUCACCAUUCCUUCGGCCCUCAUCAGCAAAAGCCUAGGAGACCGCAUAAAAAAAAGCCCUAGAAGAUGGUGAUAUGGUCAGCGUCAAUUUGGACUGGAGGGAAUCACUACCCCAUCCCGACGAGCGUGUGGAGUACGAGUUAUGGACCAACAGUAACGAUGAAUGUGGCGCAAAAUGCGACAGUCAAAUA